CCUACGGGGGGCUGCAGUGGGGAAUAUUGCACAAUGGGCGCAAGCCUGAUGCAGCCAUGCCGCGUGUGUGAAGAAGGCCUUCGGGUUGUAAAGCACUUUCAGCGGGGAGGAAGGCGUUAAGGUUAAUAACCUUGGCGAUUGACGUUACCCGCAGAAGAAGCACCGGCUAACUCCGUGCCAGCAGCCGCGGUAAUACGGAGGGUGCAAGCGUUAAUCGGAAUUACUGGGCGUAAAGCGCACGCAGGCGGUCUGUCAAGUCGGAUGUGAAAUCCCCGGGCUCAACCGGGGAAAUGCAUUCGAAACUGGCAGGCUAGAGUCUUGUAGAGGGGGGUAGAAUUGCAGGUGUAGCGGGGAAAUGCGUAGAGAUCUGGAGGAAUACCGGUGGCGAAGGCGGCCCCCGGGACAAAGACUGACGCUCAGGUGCGAAAGCGUGGGGAGCAAACAGGAUUAGAUACCCUUGUAGUC
rnacentral:rRNA from 1 species